CUUUCCUAGAAGAAAAUAGAGGGAGAAGUGACAGUUGUGACCAGUGAAACCUGAAAUCAACGAGGAGGAGAAGUCAUUCACAAAGAGAUGGAGGCCCGGGCGGGUGGAUCUUAUCUUGGCUGCUUGUCUCCUCAACUCACGCUAAAUAUGAGGUCCUCAAUGCGCUGCUUCUCUGAGGAUGCCAUCUCCAAGUUUCCCUCCUCCAGGUACCUGUGUGACCCAAACAUCACACAAUGAAUCAGAUGGUCAUAGAAAGCAAGACUCAAGUAUUCACUCAGUCUGCACUCAUCAGACAAACACAAUUUUACAAGCGGAAUAAACUGAUGUUAGAUGUGAUGGCAGCAACAGCAUAGAGGCAGUCAAGGAUCUGAGGCUGUACCUUUGA